rnacentral:rRNA from 1 species
AGAAAUUCGAUUCCGUAAGUAGCGGCGAGCGAACGCGGAUUAGCCCAAACCAAUAAAGUUUUCUUUAUUGGGGUUGCGGACAUAUCAUAACGAAGAGGUAUCGUAAUUGAAGAGGUUUGGAAAGACCCACCACAGAAGGUAAUAGUCCUGUAUGUUAAACGAAAAGACUUUAGAUAUGAUCCAGAGUACCACGGGACACGUGAAACCCUGUGGGAAGCAGGAGGGACCACCCUCCAAGGCUAAAUACUACCUAGUGACCGAUAGCGUAUAGUACCGUGAGGGAAAGGGGAAACGAACGCCGGGAGGGGAGGGAAAUAGAACCUGAAACCCUGCACUUACAAGCUGUGGAAGCACAUUUCUUGUGUGACCGCGUACUUUUUGUAGAACGGGCCAACGAGUUACGUUAAGUAGCAAG